rnacentral:lncRNA from 1 species
AUUUAAUGCGUUUAUUCCAUUUCUUUAUUUUUUUCAGAUUUCUUUUCCACUUACCUACACGAUAGGACAUUUAGAGCCAGUUGUUGAAGUCUAAUGGAUUGACUGAGAUUGUUCCAUCUUACUCUUUUUAGAGGCAAAUAAAGAGGAUCAAUCAAACUUCUAAUCUUGAAUUCUGCAUUUGCAUAAAGAACUCUGGGGAGUAUCGUCCACUUUCAAUAGCAGGAGGACUUCAGAAGCUUUUGCUUGAUCUUCCACACGAGCCAAGGAACCAACAUGAGUUCUUGAGAAAUACUCCAUAUGUUGAUUCCAAUACAAUGGCUUCUGUAGCUUUCAGAAUGUGAUGCAUCACAUGAAAUAAUACUUCCAUGAAGAAACCAUUUGUGUUUUCCAAAAUUUCAACAACUGGACAUCACCUGGUGCCAGAAGUUUUCUGUGUCCACUGGAUAUGGGAUCUUCAUUGCCAGCCAAGCAGAGGCUAAUCAGUGUGUCAGCUGGCUCCAAGAUUUCAUCCAAGUUACUGCUUGCUGUCUUAUAUAACUUUUAUACCAACCGUAGCAGGCUGGGAUCCCAAAGAAGCCAACUCUGAGCCAGAGAUGAGUGUGGGAGAGGAGGAUUAGGAUUGCUUUUGGGAUUAAAACCUGUGGACAUAGGAUUAGGUGGAGAGAAAAGUUGUGUUGAGAUGUGGGCUCUGGGGGGACUUCAGCCCCUCCUAGGGGGAGAGCUGGAACUGAGAGGAUCCUUCAGCAUUGUCUUCCUGCUGAGGGAGGGGCCAGGCUUUUAUGCACCCACAUGUGUGAUAGAGGGAAGUGACCUCAUUCAUGAGACGGCCCUUCAGCUCAGGCCUUUUCCCCAGGGGCUGACAAGGGAGUAUCUCUCUGCCAGCAGCCCAAUCAGGAGCCAGAGAGUUCUCUGACUGUCUUCUACCAGCCAACAAGCCUCACACCAGCAUCCCAACUUGAAAAAUCUUGAGUGUAAAUACUGCAAUUAUAAAUCAUAUCUAGUAAAUUUUAUUCUUUUAUCAGACAUUCUUUACUCACUCAUCCCUUUUCCAACCCAGUAAGUAUAGUUAUUUUUUUCAUCCUUAUAAUCAUGACUAUUUUUAGCCUUGUGUUAGUUUUCAAAGAUGGACCCAGAAUCCUUUCCUCCUUCUGGCAGUAUGGCAGUGCUCAUGUUAACAGCUGGAGUGCACGUCCCUUCCUGUUGUAUGUGAGCUGGCUUGUGACUUGGUUUCACCAACAGAAUGCAGUGGAUGUGAUGCUCUGACUUCCAAGACCAGGCCAUUGGGAUUCUGUCAGAUUAUAAUUCUGCCUUGGAAGCCAGUUUUUAUGUAAAAAGUCAAAAUACUCAGAGCCAUCAUAUUUGCAGGUAGCCCAAACUACACAGAGACGGAGAAAAAAGCUUCAGAGAGGAACGCUGAGAACUAAACAAUAUUAUGGAAUCCCUUUUAUGCCUUUUUGUAGAGUUACAUACAUUUGUUUAUAACUGUUUAAGGACAAUUUAGACCGUUUCAAAGUAAGUGAAUUCAUCUGUUAAUUAAGCAACGUAGUAAUUGGGCCUAGGGUUGCACUGUUGUUAUGUAACUCAUAAUUUUCCUUAUAUUUACCUACUUUGCAUCUAUGAUAAUAAUUAUUAUAAGUUCAGUUAGCAUAGUCAUUAAAUAAAUAUGUAAUUUAUUAUAGUGACAUUUGUUUAUGGUACAGUAUCUCUCCACAUAGUUCAAGUUUUCUUAGAAUCUUUAAACUAUCCAUAAUAUGAUUUCACCAUGAAAAAGGCAGUGGUGCUGCUAGAUAAUUUGCUAUAAAUUAGAUGUGAGCCAGAAGGUGCAAUGACUUUUCUUCCCGUGUUAGGAUUAUAAAGCAACCCCUGGGGUUGUUUUGUGCUAUGAUUUUCAUGUUGCAGAAGUCAAGAAAUUCACAAUUACAGUCCUUCCACAACCUUUGAUAGACUCGAAAUAGUUAUUAUAUAACAGAAACAGUACCAUAUAGAAGCAGGAUUCACCACUUUUAUUUAUGAGAAAGAGUUGUAGUUACUAAGGGAUUCAUAAUUUAGACUCAUAAAACGUGAGCAUUAGAAAAGAAAAUGAUGUUAACAUAAUCUGACUUUCAUGACUUUACACGGCCGUUAUAAGUUGAUAUCAUUUUUCAGCAAUUGUAAAUUGAAGUCAUUUCGGAACUGAUUGUAAAUCCUUAGGUGAAGAAAACCAAAUUCGGUUUACAAGGCAUGGUAUAUUCCUUACCUUUCUGAGUUCAAUGAUAUCAUUAUACGUGGCCAGCCCUACAGUGAAAAAGAGUAUAUCCUCAACAUAAUCUGAAUCUAACUUUGUCAGUGGUGUCUGCAAGUAGAGACUUAGCAAAAACUUUACUCCAUAAUAAAUUGCAAAUUAAAGAAGGGAGUAGAACAGCUGCUUCACCUGAGAAUGCUUGCUGAGGAGUAAUUGGUCUCAUUGUGACACCAGGUCUCCCCACUAAACAAUUGUUUGAAGUCACAAAGCUUUUGUCAAAGUGAAGUAUAAUAAAUAAUGUGCAGGGAAGCAUGAGUAAUGUGCAAUUUGGGGUGAGCUGCGAGAGUUGGUGUAUCUUGCCCCAGGUUGUCCUGGGGCUAGAAGGAAAGGCAUAUUAUGCUGAUCCUAGCAGACAUUAUUGUUGAUAACAGGAAUUGAUACAGAGCUUUUAUGAGUCAGUUUUGCUUAAAAACUGAGAAUUAACAUGAAAACAAAAAUAAAAAUAUGGUAAAGCUAUAUUGAAAGGUGCUUAAUGACAGUAUCUGUGUAUAAUUUAUUCAUUUAUCCAGUCACAACGUAUUUAUUAAGCUUCUUCUUGUAGAAUAAGGUACUAGGGGCCAGGACUACGCUGAUAACAAGACAGAGAUGAUCUUCACUAAACUUGCAUCUUAAUUAAGAAGUCAAAGUGAAGCAUAACAGAAACAUCAUGGAUAAUUGAAAGAUUUCGGUGGCUUUCUGCUGUCAUUAGAGUAAAAAUCCACAUAUUUAAUGUGGCCUUUAAUAAUCUUAUUUAUAGUUGAUCUAGUUGCCUCAGCUACAGUAUAAUGAGUAAAUGUGAAAGCACCAAGCUUAUGUGCAGUGAGAUUUAAAGGAGAAGUGGCCAUAUGGGUUAAGAGAUUGGCAAUUCCCUUGAGAGACUGAUAAAUUGACAUAUGUUAAAGGUAAGAGCAGCAGGAACCUGGUGCUGUUCUAUAAGGUGUUAAUUUAGAGAAUGGCUAUGGAGUUUAGUGGUUUGGGUUUCAAAACUAGGAACAUCCUUUGUCUGUUGUAUGAUGUUGGAGAUGUCAUUAGCUCCAUGAGGUUGCUGUGAGAAUUCUUGGAUAUUAUCUCUUUCUAAAUUACUUCUCAUACAUUUUCUCUCUAUUGCUUCCAUAGCUUCCGUUACAUGCAUUUAAUCCAUCUCACACCAGUUAGAAUAGCAGUCAUUAAAAAGUCAGGA